rnacentral:rRNA from 1 species
GACGAACGCUGGCGGCGUGCCUAAUACAUGCAAGUAGAACGCUGAAGAGAGGAGCUUGCUCUUCUUGGAUGAGUUGCGAACGGGUGAGUAACGCGUAGGUAACCUGCCUUUUAGCGGGGGAUAACUAUUGGAAACGAUAGCUAAUACCGCAUAACAAUAGGUGACACAUGUCAUUUAUUUUAAAGGGGCAAUUGCUCCACUACAAGAUGGACCUGCGGUGUAUUAGCUAGUAGGUGAGGUAACGGCUCACCUAGGCGACGAUACAUAGCCGACCUGAGAGGGUGAUCGGCCAACCUGGGACUGAGACAAGGCCCAGACUCCUACGGGAGGCAGCAGUAGGGGAUCUUCGGCAAUGGGGGCAACGCUGACCGAGCAACGCCGCGUGAGUGAAGAAGGUUUUCGGAUCGGAAAGCUCUGUUGUAAGUCAAGAACGAGUGUGAGAGUGGAAAGUUCACACUGUGACGGUAGCUUAACAGAAAGGGACGGCUAACUACGUG